rnacentral:rRNA from 1 species
UACGUAGGGGGCGAGCGUUGUCCGGAAUCAUUGGGCGUAAAGCGCGUGUAGGCGGUCCGGUAAGUCCGCUGUGAAAGUCGGGGGGUCAACCCUCGGUGCCGGUGGAUACUGUCGGGCUCGAGUACGGAAGAGGCGAGUGGAAUUCCUGGUGUAGCGGUGAAAUGCGCAGAUAUCAGGAGGAACACCAAUUGCGAAGGCAGCUCGCUGGGACGUUACUGACGCUGAGACGCGAAAGCGUUGGGGAGCAAACAGG